CUUCGGAUUCUGUGUCUCCCUCUCUCUCUGCCCCUCCCCUGCUCAUGCUCUGUCUCUCUCUGUCUUUCAAUGAUAAACAAACGUUAACAAAAAUUAAAAAAAGAAAUAAGUUUGAUGAGGAAUUAAGGAAUGGGAAUUGAAGGAGACUGUCACGUUUGAAUUUUUUCGAUCAUAACAUAUCCGUGUAUGAUUUAUGUAUUUAGAUUUAAGAUUGAAGAAGAAAAAAUAAUGGGAGCAUUCUGAUUGCUUCAACUUGGGUCAUGUGACUAUUCCUUGGCCAUCAGUGACCAAGGGGCUCCCAGGGCUCUGACUGGCCGUGCCUGGGUUACACAUUCACCCCUAUGAACACUGGAACAAUACUCAUGAUCGGCAGUUCCUUCCAUAAUUACACGUUGUUGUGGGGAAGGAGCUGUUCCCUCAAGAAAGGGAGGUGCUGUUCUGGGCAGACAAAAUGAUACAUCUCUGUAGUGAAAAUAUUUGGGCCAGCAUCAUCUGUAUGGGUUUAUGUAUGUGUCGUCCAAGGCUGAAUGCUUUGUUCAAUAUGUUUUUAUUACAGUACAGGAUAAGGAUUUGUUUUGCUCACUGCUAUAUCCCCCAGAACCCGUGAAGGUUCAGGGUAUAUAGUAGUUGCUUGGCUUAGCAGAUAUUGGUUGAAUGGAGACACCACUAUUUUCAUCUAUGGUUAUUUUAAUAGUAAUCUACAAAUGGGCCUGCUGACAGAGGCAACUCUUCCCAGAUGCUCUCAGUAGGGGCAGUACAGAGAAAGGAAGAGGAAGUCGAAUCACCAGCUCAGGACUCCUCCCAAGGCCGGGGAGUCACCAGGACCCACACCUGGGACAGUUUGACAAUGACUUGGCCGAGGCAUGGGGUUGGGCAGGGGGAGUAUCUGCAGCCCAGUCUCUCACACUUCUCAUGACUAAGUGAUUCUUCCUUUCUGGCCUACUCACUUUGCAAAUGCUCCCUUAGCCCGUGUUAUAGACUCACCAGCUGUGGAAGAUGGAGCCACAGAGGAAGAGAAGGUGGCAAAAUGGGCCAGGUCACCUAGGGUGGGUGACCCUUGGAACACCAAAUCACAAGCACUCUUCCAGGUCAUAAAAAACGUGUGAAGGCAUUUUAAUUAAGGCCAGGAGAGACCAGCAUGGAAAUCCGUGUAUGUUUGCUGGCAAAGGAGGAGGUGUGAGUGGAGAGAGAGACUCAAAGAUGGUACAGGGUGACGGAGGUCAGCCAGGAGCCCAAGUGGGGCCAGGGCCAGGAGUGGGGGGUGGUGCUGGGGCAGUUAGGGCUGGAGAUGUUCUGGGUGGGGAGGCAAACUGCCCCUUGCUUUCACUCUCACUCCUGUACUAGCUCCAGUGACCCCCCAGAGACCAGGCAGCGAGUCCACAUUCUUCAGGUUCAGUGGAUUUUCUGGUUGGAGAAAUGUGAGAAUUUAAAUUGUGGGGCACCUGGGUGGCUCAGUCGGUUAAGUGUCCGACUUCAGCUCAGGUCAUGACUCACGGAUUGUGGGUUCGAGCCCCGCGUCGGGCUCUGUGCUGACAGCCUGGAGCCUGGAGCCCGCUUCAGAUUCUGUCUCCCUCUCUCUGUGCCCCUCUGCCACUCAUGCUGUCUUUCUCUCAAAAAUAAACAUUAAAAAAAUUUAAAAAGAAAAUUAAAUUGUUGCCACCAAACGAUCUAGUUGCUGAACCUUUGAACCUUGAGCUGAGUUUGGCCUGGCUGAGUCGUCCAUGAGAACCCAAGGGGAGCUAGAGGUGUGCGUGUCUGGUGGAGACUAGAAAUGCAAGCCGGACAGUUCAAAACCGGAACAGAUUCCGGGACACAUUUCAGACAUCUUUCCUUUACCCCCAGGGCCCUGUCCCCUCAUCAGCCCCGUAACCAUUGGCCACCUUGACUCCCACCGGCAAAUGCCUCCACCCUUUCCUAUGGUCAUUACCUACCAUUUAUAUUUAUUGAGUACCUACUGUGUGCCAGAUACUACAAGACACUGAUGUUACAAGACAUAUCCUUGUCCUUAAGAGACUUCCAUGUAACCAGCAGCUUGCUCAGGGGGCCCCAGAGAUCCCCAAAACUUUUGUCUGUGUGAUAGACCUUUCUGUGAACUGAUGACGGCUUUGCACACCUCCCCAGAAAAACACAACCUGCAUGGAAAUUUACAUACAGUUGAAGGUGGCACCAAUUUCCUGGAAGCCCGUUUAUGACCUAAGUGUCUGUGUUCCCCAAGUCACAAAUGUUUUAUCUAAUUUAACCCUCUCAUUCUGUAGAUCAGGAAACUCAGACCUGAGAGAGAGAAAUGACUUGUCCAGGGUCACACAGUGGGUUAGGGACUGAGUCAGGCCUUGACACCAGGACUACUGGCUCCACCAGGCUUCCUCUGCUUUCCCUGUUGGCUUGGAGAACCUGGCUGAAGAGGGGUCCUGGGCCAGUUCCCUUUUCAGCUGUCAAGUCUGGGGCUGACCAGCCUACAGGCCUCCUUCUCCACCACCCUACUGUCCCCUCAGGAAUGCAGGACCAGUGGUCAGGAGUUCCCUGAACAGUUGCUCUGGCCCUGGCCGCCCCACUGGUUCCCCCCAGACGUCAGGGGAAAUGUUCUGUAGAGAACAGGAUGUGUUUUCCUGCAAAAUCAUUUGUCUCACAAGAUGAUUUGCAUACUGGUAGGGACACAAAUGUCAUUCCCUGCCCAUUUCCUCCCUAGGGAGAAGUGUUCCCAUCACAGCUUUCCCCUCAAAGGACAGGCGGCUGUGUGGGCCCAGCCCCAGCCCCAAGGGACAACUUCCUGAUAGGAGGGAAUCAGAUAAUAGCGAGGACUCCCGGAAGUAAGGAGCCUCCCUUGUUGCCUUCUCACUUCCAGGGCUUGGCUAGACGGGGGCUCCAGGCUCCAGCUCUGAUAAAUGGCCUGCUCCUGUGAUCCCCAGGGCUCUGGGCAUCUACCUUUAUAACACAUUCUUGGAGGUAAAUUACUGGAAAUUCAGCUGCUAGAAGGGAGGCUUGAGGUGCUGUUAGGUGAAAAAUAAUAACAAAUACGUAGUGCUUAUUACAUGCCAGCAUUGCUCUGAGCAACUUACUGUAAAUUCAUGUAAUUCUCACAACAUAGUGAGCUCGGUUCUAUAAUUUUUUUCCAUUGUCCACGUGAGAGAUCAAGGUUCAGAGAGGUUAAGGGCACAAAGCUGGUAAGCAACACAACCAGAAUUUGAACACAGCCAAUCUGCCUCCUAAGUUGGGAUUUUAAGUACUAUAUUACAAGAGGGAGCAUUAGAAGAUUGGAGGUCUAGUCUAACCCUUGGAGGCUGUGCCGUAGUCCAGAAGCGUUGGCAUGGAAUUCAGGUUCCCUUAUGAUCUGGUCUCAGCCCUACUGCUAUCCCUCCUUGCCUCCUACCACCAUGAUCCACUGCCUCGACAGUCCAUGAACAUGCCCCAGCUGGUCUGCACAUAUCUUUCACUCUACCCAGACAGUACUUACCCAUUUCUGUCUGAAAUGUCUCUUUUUCUACCGAGAACCUCUGAACAACCCUCCCUGUAGACUGGGGUUAGGCGGGCCUUUCUCUUUUUAAAACUUUUAUUAUUAUUAUUACUUACUGUGGCUUUCGUCAGUUUGUCUUCUAAUUAUUGGCUAAUACGUCUCUUUUGCUUCCAGACUUCAGUCCUAAGGACUGGAUAUCUGUCAUAUCCAUUUCAGAAUCCUCAGCACUCAAUCCAGCACCUUAUAUGUAGUAAAUACUCAGCAGAUGUCUGUUAUGUACAGUGAACAAAGGAUGUUACAAAAUAAUAUACGCAGUGUGCUAAAUAUUGUAUUAUGUAUACUAUAAAUAUAUCACCACGCAGAACAUCCCAAAUGUUAACAAUUUUCACAGAAUUUGGGGGUUACAGGUGAUUUUUCUUUCUUUGCAUGUCUGCAUUUCCCAAAGUUUCUGUAAUGAUCAUGUGUUACUUUUGUAAUACAAAUGGAAAAAUAAAUUAUUAGAAAACUG